GACGAACGCUGGCUGCGCUGCUUAACACAUGCAAGUCGAACGGAAAGGCCCUGCUUUUGUGGGGUGCUCGAGUGGCAAACGGGUGAGAAACACGAGAGUAACCUGCCCUUGACUUUGGGAUAACUUCAUGAAACUGGGGCUAAUACCCCAUAGGAGCUCCUGCUGCAUGGUGGGCGGUUGGAAAGUUUCGGACUUUGGGGAUGGACUCGCGGCUUAUCAGCUUGUUGGUGGGGUAGUGGCUUACCCACGCUUUGACGGGUAGCCGGCCUGAGAGGAUGACCGGCCUCAUUGCGACUGAUAUACGGACCACACUCCUACUGGACGGACCACUGGGGAAUAUCGCACGAUGCCCAGAAGCCUGAUACAUCUACGUCUCUUGCGGGAUGACGGCUCUCGGGUUGUAAACCGCUUUCUCCUGUGACGAAUCGUGAACUACGGUAAUGGGUAAAGAAUGAGCGGCUAACUACCUGCCACCAUGAGCGGUGAUACUUAGGGCGCAAUCCUUGUCCGGAUAUAUUGAGCGUAUAGGGCUCAUACGUGGUUGAUGGAAUCGGACCUGCAAUCUUGGGGCUUAACCCUGAGCGUGAUUUUCGAUACGGGUCGACUUUAGGAAGGUAGGGGCGAAUGGAAUUCCUGGUGUACCGGUGGAAUGCGCAGAUAUCAGGAGGAACCCCCAUGGUGAAAGGAGAUUUCUGGGCCUUUCCUGGCCCUGAAGAACCAAAGCCUGGGGAGCGAACAGGUUUAGAUACCCUGGUAAUCCCUGCCUGAAACGGUGGGAACUAGGUGUGGGGUCCAUUACACGGGUUCCGUCCUGUAGGUUAUGCUUUAAGUUCCCCCCCCGGGGAGUACGGCCGCAAGGGUAAAACUCAAAGGAAUUGACGGGGCUCCGCACAAGCGGCGGAGCAUGCGGAUUAAUUCGAUACAACGCGAAGAACCUUACCUGGCUUGACAUGGAUCGGGAGUGCUCAGAGAUGGGUGUGCCUCUUUAGGGGUCGGUUCACAGGUGGUGCAUGCCCGUCGUCACCUCAUGUCGUGAGAUGUUGGGUUAAUACCUGCAACAAGCGCAACCCUCGUUCACUGUUGCCGCCACGUUAUGGUGGGGAGUCAGUGGAUACUGCCGGGGUCAACUCGGAGGAAGGUGGGGAUGACGUCAAGUCAUCAUGCCCCUUAUGUACAGGGCUUCAGGCAUGAUACAAUGGCUGGUACAGAGAGUGGCGAUACCGCUAGGGUGAGGGAAUCUCGGAAAGCCGGUCUCAGUUUGGAUUGGGGUUUGCAACUUGACCUCACGAAGUGGGAGUCGUUAGUAAUCGCAGAUCAGCAACGAUGCGGCGAAUAAGUUGCCCGGGGCG
rnacentral:rRNA from 1 species